GUAGUCCACGCCGUAAACGAUGAGUGCUAAGUGUUGGAGGGUUUCCGCCCUUCAGUGCUGCAGCAAACGCAUUAAGCACUCCGCCUGGGGAGUACGACCGCAAGGUUGAAACUCAAAGGAAUUGACGGGGGCCCGCACAAGCGGUGGAGCAUGUGGUUUAAUUCGAAGCAACGCGAAGAACCUUACCAGGUCUUGACAUCCUUUGACCACUCUAGAGAUAGAGCUUCCCCUUCGGGGGCAAAGUGACAGGUGGUGCAUGGUUGUCGUCAGCUCGUGUCGUGAGAUGUUGGGUUAAGUCCCGCAACGAGCGCAACCCUUAUUGUUAGUUGCCAUCAUUUAGUUGGGCACUCUAGCGAGACUGCCGGUGACAAACCGGAGGAAGGUGGGGAUGACGUCAAAUCAUCAUGCCCCUUAUGACCUGGGCUACACACGUGCUACAAUGGGAAGUAUAACGAGUUGCGAAGUCGCGAGGCUAAGCUAAUCUCUUAAAGCUUCUCUCAGUUCGGAUUGUAGGCUGCAACUCGCCUACAUGAAGCCGGAAUCGCUAGUAAUCGCGGAUCAGCACGCCGCGGUGAAUACGUUCCCGGGCCUUGUACACACCGCCCGUCACACCACGAGAGUUUGUAACACCCGAAGUCGGUGAGGUAACCUUUUUGGAGCCAGCCGCCUAAGGUGGGA
rnacentral:rRNA from 1 species